AACUCAAUGUGAGGACACCGUCUCAAUAAGUCCUUAUACCUCUCCUAUGCAUCAUAUAAGGUCUCUAAGUUGAUCUGCACAAAGAAGGAGAUACCAUUCAUCUACUU
rnacentral:snoRNA from 1 species